GGAGACAUAUCAGGUCUUGGCCCAUUUGAACUCGAGGCCUUGCAAGAUUGGGAAUACAAGUUUAUGGGAAAGUACGUUAAGGUUGGAACUAUCAAAACAGUUCCAGUAACUAAACCAGAAUCCACCGGUGAACCUUCAGAAUCAACUUCUCGUGGUGUUGAUGCUUCUUCAAUUCCUCAUGAAAACCAUGAUGCUGCUGAGGCUUCUAAGCCUCAUGAAAAUACUCCUUCUGAAACUGCACCUGUUAAAAGUGAUGAAAAUACACCUUUAAGUGUUGAUGCGGAUAAAGAGGAGUGAUAAUAAGGGUUGAAUAAUAAAUAAAAUACUAAUUCUACUCAAAUAAUGGGAAACAAAUGCAUAAGAGCUUCUGAUAGAGACAUCCUUUGUGAGUGAAUUAAACAUAUAGGCCAACU
rnacentral:lncRNA from 1 species